rnacentral:rRNA from 1 species
UCGAGCGGACAGAAGGGAGCUUGCUCCCGGAUGUUAGCGGCGGACGGGUGAGUAACACGUGGGUAACCUGCCUGUAAGACUGGGAUAACUCCGGGAAACCGGAGCUAAUACCGGAUAGUUCCUUGAACCGCAUGGUUCAAGGAUGAAAGACGGUUUCGGCUGUCACUUACAGAUGGACCCGCGGCGCAUUAGCUAGUUGGUGGGGUAAUGGCUCACCAAGGCGACGAUGCGUAGCCGACCUGAGAGGGUGAUCGGCCACACUGGGACUGAGACACGGCCCAGACUCCUACGGGAGGCAGCAGUAGGGAAUCUUCCGCAAUGGACGAAAGUCUGACGGAGCAACGCCGCGUGAGUGAUGAAGGUUUUCGGAUCGUAAAGCUCUGUUGUUAGGGAAGAACAAGUGCGAGAGUAACUGCUCGCACCUUGACGGUACCUAACCAGAAAGCCACGGCUAACUACGUGCCAGCAGCCGCGGUAAUACGUAGGUGGCAAGCGUUGUCCGGAAUUAUUGGGCGUAAAGGGCUCGCAGGCGGUUUCUUAAGUCUGAUGUGAAAGCCCCCGGCUCAACCGGGGAGGGUCAUUGGAAACUGGGAAACUUGAGUGCAGAAGAGGAGAGUGGAAUUCCACGUGUAGCG